rnacentral:rRNA from 1 species
AUUGAACGCUGGCGGAAUGCUUUACACAUGCAAGUCGAACGGCAGCACGGACUUCGGUCUGGUGGCGAGUGGCGAACGGGUGAGUAAUGUAUCGGAACGUGCCCAGUCGUGGGGGAUAACGUAGUGAAAAUUACGCUAAUACCGCAUACGAUCUAUGGAUGAAAGCGGGGGAUCGCAAGACCUCGCGCGAUUGGAGCGGCCGAUAUGAGAUUAGGUAGUUGGUGGGGUAAAGGCCCACAAAGCCAACGAUCGGUAGCUGGUCUGAGAGGACGACCAGCCACACUGGAACUGAGACACGGUCCAGACUCCUACGGGAGGCAGCAGUGGGGAAUUUUGGACAAUGGGCGAAAGCCUGAUCCAGCCAUUCCGCGUGCAGGAUGAAGGCCCUCGGGUUGUAAACUGCUUUUGUACAGAACGAAAAGGUUUCUACUAAUACUAGGAGCUCAUGACGGUACUGUAAGAAUAAGCACCGGCUAACUACGUGCCAGCAGCCGCCGUAA